UACAGAGGGUGCAAGCGUUAAUCGGAGUUACUGGGCGUAAAGGGCGCGUAGGCGGUUUAAUAAGAUUGAUGUGAAAUCCCUGGGCUUAACCUAGGAACUGCAUCGAUGACUGUUAAGCUAGAGUAUUGUAGAGGGUAGUGGAAUUUCCGGUGUAGCGGUGAAAUGCGUAGAGAUCGGAAGGAACACCAGUGGCGAAGGCGGCUACCUGGACAAAUACUGACGCUGAGGCGCGAAAGCGUGGGAUCAAACAGG
rnacentral:rRNA from 1 species